rnacentral:rRNA from 1 species
UACGGGGGGGGCAAGCGUUGUUCGGAAUUACUGGGCGUAAAGGGCGCGUAGGCGGCCUUCUAAGUCGGACGUGAAAUCCCUCGGCUUAACCGAGGAACUGCGUCCGAGACUGGAAGGCUUGAAUCCGGGAGAGGGAUGUGGAAUUCCAGGUGUAGCGGUGAAAUGCGUAGAUAUCUGGAGGAACACCGGUGGCGAAGGCGGCAUCCUGGACCGGCAUUGACGCUGAGGCGCGAAAGCUAGGGGAGCAAACGGG